rnacentral:rRNA from 1 species
AACGAACGCUGGCGGCAUGCCUAACACAUGCAAGUCGAACGAGACCUUCGGGUCUAGUGGCGCACGGGUGCGUAACGCGUGGGAAUCUACCCUUGGGUUCGGAAUAACAGUUAGAAAUGACUGCUAAUACCGGAUGAUGACGUAAGUCCAAAGAUUUAUCGCCCAAGGAUGAGCCCGCGUAAGAUUAGCUUGUUGGUGGGGUAAUGGCCGACCAAGGCGACGAUCUUUAGCUGGUCUGAGAGGAUGAUCAGCCACACUGGGACUGAGACACGGCCCAGACUCCUACGGGAGGCAGCAGUGGGGAAUAUUGGACAAUGGGCGAAAGCCUGAUCCAGCAAUGCCGCGUGAGUGAUGAAGGCCUUAGGGUUGUAAAGCUCUUUCGCACGCGACGAUGAUGACGGUAGCGUGAGAAGAAGCCCCGGCUAACUUCGUGCCAGCCGCCGCCGUAA